rnacentral:rRNA from 1 species
AACGAACGCUGGCGGCAUGCCUAACACAUGCAAGUCGAACGAGACCUUCGGGUCUAGUGACGCACGGGUGCGUAACGCGUGGGAAUCUGCCCUUGGGUUCGGAAUAACAGUUAGAAAUGACUGCUAAAUACCGGAUAAUGUCUUCGGACCAAAGAUUUAUCGCCCAGGGAUGAGCCCGCGUAGGAUUAGCUAGUUGGUGAGGUAAAGGCUCACCAAGGCGACGAUCCUUAGCUGGUCUGAGAGGAUGAUCAGCCACACUGGGACUGAGACACGGCCCAGACUCCUACGGGAGGCAGCAGUGGGGAAUAUUGGACAAUGGGCGAAAGCCUGAUCCAGCAAUGCCGCGUGAGUGAUGAAGGCCUUAGGGUUGUAAAGCUCUUUUCUUUGGGACGAAACCCCUGUUUCUACGGGGACUGACGGUACCAGAGGAAUAAGCACCGGCUAACUCCGUGCCAGCAGCCGCGGUAAU